UGAAAUCUGGCCGUUCCGCGGCCCGAGUUGUAAUUUGCAGAGGAUGCUUCGGGUGCGGCCCCGGUCUAAGUUCCUUGGAACAGGACGUCAUGGAGGGUGAGAAUCCCGUAUGUGACCGGCGACCCAGCCCGUGUGAAGCUCCUUCGACGAGUCGAGUUGUUUGGGAAUGCAGCUCUAAAUGGGUGGUAAAUUUCAUCUAAAGCUAAAUACCGGCCGGAGACCGAUAGCGCACAAGUAGAGUGAUCGAAAGAUGAAAAGCACUUUGGAAAGAGAGUUAAAAAGUACGUGAAAUUGUUGAAAGGGAAGCGCUUGCAACCAGACCUGCUCGCGGGUGGUCAGCCGCCCUUUGGGGCGGUGCACUCACCCGCGAUCAGGCCAGCACCGGUUCGGGCGGUCGGACAAAGGCCCCGGGAAUGUGGCUCCCCCCGGGGAGUGUUAUAGCCCGGGGUGCAAUGCGGCCAGCCCGGACCGAGGACCGCGCUUCGGCUAGGAUGCUGGCGUAAAGGUCGCAAGCGACCCGUCUUGAAACACGGACCAAGGAGUCUAACAUCUAUGCGAGUGUUUGGGUGUCAAACCCAUGCGCGCAAUGAAAGUGAACGGAGGUGGGAACCCUCAAGGGCGCACCAUCGACCGAUCCUGAUGUCUUCGGAUGGAUUUGAGUAAGAGCAUAGCCGUUGGGACCCGAAAGAUGGUGAACUAUGCCUGAAUAGGGUGAAGCCAGAGGAAACUCUGGGUGGAGGCUCGCAGCGGUUCUGACGUGCAAAUCGAUCGUCAAAUUUGGGUAUAGGGGCGAAAGACUAAUCGAACCAUCU
rnacentral:rRNA from 1 species